rnacentral:tRNA from 1 species
GUCGGGAUAGCUGCAGAUAGAGCAGAGGACUGAAAAUCCUCGUGUCACCA